rnacentral:lncRNA from 1 species
AUGUAUGUACAUGCCGGUCAUUGUUAUAUAGCUGCCCUCUUACAAAUGCUCAUGUAACAGGCUUCACGACGUCCUGCAGUCAUGUCGUGUCGCUUUCUAUGUGGUAUAUCGCAUGUAAAGAGUAAGUAAAGGAUGGGUUCUAACACACUACCCUGAGGAACACCAGAUUUUAUUUCCUUUAAAUCAGAAUAUAUAUCUCCAUGUUUAAUUAAAAAAAAAGGUCCGAAAUUUCAGUUUAAAAAAGGUCUCUACCAAAAGAACAAGUAUUGGUUAAGUUAACCAGAACUUAAUUGACAGAUGAUGCUAACCAGACAUUGAGAAAACGGCCUUAACGGUGGGUUUCCAGCUGUCAAGAAAAGCAAAAACUUCAUAUAAAAAACGCUUAAGAAAAGAUCAAGAAGUUUUCUGGUGUUAAAUUUUCUUAUGGCAACAUCCAACUCUCAAGAAACUCAGUAAGUAUAUUUACUACUUUUAUUUUAUAAAUUGUGUAUAGGCAACACUGGUUUUGCGAAGAAACGUAACAGUUUGUAUAUAUUUCUGACGCAAAUUGAGUGGGAAGAAGAAGAAAGUUUGUGGUUUUAUUUGAAUUUUUUAUGUUAUUUUGUUUAAUCCUUUGGAAAUGUAAGAUUUAAUACCUGUAGCAAAGCGACAAAAGAGAAUAAAAAAUUUCACAGCAGGUGAAAAACGACAACUUAUUAAAGAAGUGGCGCCGAAUAUGGGGCAUAACAAACGUUAUGCAUUCGAAUAAAAAUGCUGUUGAUCAUGCCUGGGUUCACAUAAUCAAUUCGUUAGUGAGUGCAAAGCUGGAUAGAUUAGCUUAGGGGAGAGCUAUCACUAUCACGCCAAAGAAGCCCGCAAGCACAAAAGUGGUAGAGCUGCUGGAGACACGCAGGAGGAGCCUUUUUUCAAGCACGAUUGAUUGGAAGUUUGCUGAAGAAAUGGCGUUUUUGCCAAAGAUAUCACACAAAAGAACAGAAGAAAAAGUCUUUCGCAGACCUUUCACAAGUCCAACAUUUGAAGACUUUGAUUCAUCAUCCCCCAUAAAUGGAACGAAUGUGGAGGUGUUAAGUGUUCCGUAAUAUGAUUAUAAUCCAACAUCCAUCACAAAUAGUCGGACGUUUAGUGGAAGCCAAAAUUACGAGGCAUGGAAUCGAUUCAACAACAUUUUAAAGAAACAAGAAGAUUUGGAAGCAACAAAGAACAACUCACCAUAUGCACAAGUCCUUGAUAGUUUUGACGGGUUGUUGAAUAAGCUUUCGGGGUCAGUUGGUGAUAAUAUGUGUAUGGAA